rnacentral:tRNA from 1 species
GGAGACGUAACUCAGUCGGUAGAGUGUAGUACUUAUAUAAUGCUAAGGUCGAGAGUUCGAUCCUCUCCUUCUCCA